UAGGGAAUCUUCGGCAAUGGACGAAAGUCUGACCGAGCAACGCCGCGUGAGUGAAGAAGGUUUUCGGAUCGUAAAACUCUGUUGUUAGAGAAGAACAAGGACGUUAGUAACUGAACGUCCCCUGACGGUAUCUAACCAGAAAGCCACGGCUAACUACGUGCCAGCAGCCGCGGUAAUACGUAGGUGGCAAGCGUUGUCCGGAUUUAUUGGGCGUAAAGCGAGCGCAGGCGGUUUCUUAAGUCUGAUGUGAAAGCCCCCGGCUCAACCGGGGAGGGUCAUUGGAAACUGGGAGACUUGAGUGCAGAAGAGGAGAGUGGAAAUCCAUGUGUAGCGGUGAAAUGCGUAGAUAUAUGGUGGAACACCAGUGGCGAAGGCGGCUCUCUGGUCUGUAACUGACGCUGAGGCUCGAAAGCGUGGGGAGCAAACAGG
rnacentral:rRNA from 1 species